ACUCCCGGAACUGAACCCAGGCGGCGGGCGGCGGCGGCGGCGGGGGCCACGUCAGCGGGCGGCCCGGGGCUGUGCGGGGGCGGGUGGAGGGCGCCAUGCGGCGGGGCGCGCUCCUGGCGGGCGCCCUGGCCGCGUACGCCGUGUACCUGGUGCUGGGCGCGCUGCUGGUGGCGCGGCUGGAGGCGCCGCACGAAGCCCGGCUCCGAGCCGAGUUGGGGACGCUGCGGGAGCAGCUGCUGCGGCGCAGCCCGUGCGUGGCGGCCCCGGCCCUGGACGCCUUCGUGGAGCGAGUGCUGGCGGCCGGACGGCUGGGGCGCGCCGCGCUGGCCAACGCGUCGGGGCCCGCCAACGCCUCGGACCCCGCCUGGGACUUCGCCUCGGCGCUCUUCUUCGCCAGCACGCUGGUCACCACCGUGGGCUACGGCUACACGACGCCGCUGACGGACGCGGGCAAGGCCUUCUCCAUCGCCUUCGCGCUCCUGGGCGUGCCGACCACCAUGCUGCUGCUCACCGCCUCGGCCCAGCGCCUGUCGCUGCUGCUGACCCACGCGCCCCUGUCCUGGCUGAGCUGGCGCUGGGGCUGGGACCCGCGACGGGCCGCGCGCUGGCACCUGGUGGCCCUGCUGGGCGUCAUCGUGACCGUCUGCUUUCUGGUGCCGGCCACGGUCUUCGCCCACCUGGAGGAGGCCUGGAGCUUCCUGGACGCCUUCUACUUCUGCUUCAUCUCUCUGUCCACCAUCGGUCUGGGUGACUAUGUCCCCGGCGAGGCCCCCGGCCAGCCCCACCGGGCCCUCUACAAGGUGCUGGUCACAGCCUACCUCUUCCUGGGCCUGGUGGCCAUGGUGCUGGUGCUGCAGACCUUCCGCCACGUGUCCGACCUCCACGGCCUCACGGAGCUCGUCCUGCUGCCCAGCCCGUGCCCCGCCAGCCUCGGCGACGACAGGGACGAUCGGGUGGACAUCCUGGGCGCCCCGCCCGAGCUGCACCAGCACCUCUCCGCUGGCGCCCGCGCCGACUACGCCUCCAUCCCCAGGUAGCGGGCAGGCGGUGGCUGCGGGCCCAGGGCAGGACCCGAUGUCCAUGCAGGUGGAGCGGAGGCAGGGGCUGCUCGGCCCUCGGGCCCUGGGGCUCCGGCGGCACCUCGGCGACCUCCCCCCCUGCCCCUCCCCCCCAUUGUCCCCUCUCCCCCUUGCCCCACCCUCUGGCUUUCUGCUUUCCUGACGUCCGUCCUUCGACCCUCAGUCUCCAUGUUCCAUCAGCCGCUCACCCACCCGCUCCUCCAGGGAGGCUGUCCCAGACCCGGUCCCGGACCUGUUUCGCACAGGUCAGGUGCUCAGUGGCAGCCCUCUCUGAGCCUCGGUUUCCUCGGCUGUCAGAGGGCCGUCCGUUCACCCCCAGACCCUGCCUCUGUGCUGGCCCAGGGCUACACAGUUCUGGGGACACAGGAGUAGUGGAGGUGGCCCUGUUCUCUACUUUCAUGGGACUCACAGCCAUGUCCCCACCUGGUGGAAGUCCCAGACGGCAGAGGCAGAGUGAGUGGUCAGGGCACCAGCCAGCUGCAGCUGGAAGGUCAGGAGAGGAAGUGACAGGACUGAGAACGGAAAUGUGAGGAACGGUCAGAGGAAGAAGGUGUCCUUGAUUCACGUUCCCAGGUACCUUCAGGGACCAGGGCCUGCGUGGCCAUCCUGGGGCAGGCCGGGUGGCAGGACCUCCCUCAGUAUCUCAGCCCAGGUCCCCCUUCACCGAGCCUGUGGGCUCCCUCUAGCCCAGCCGUGUCCUGCCCGGGUCCUUAGGCAGUUUCUCUACCUCUCAGACUGUUCCUAUAAAAUGGCAACCAGGAUAGCACCACUUGCAGAGGUGAUGUCGCCGGGACUGCCCUGUUACUCUGUGACACUCUGGCCAGGCUCUCUUCUGGAUACUUUACAGGAAGGGAGAUAAUGUUGGUUAUCUCCUUUCCACAGAUGAGGAAACUGAGGCAAGGGAAGGUGGUCCCUUGACCCAGCCACAGGUGAGGAAGUGAUUGGUUGUAGGUUUAAGCCCCUCGGAUCUGCCCCUCCUGAGACGGGCUGUCGCAGAGCCUCCUGCCAAGGGUCCUGGACUGAGCUCCUAGCUCUACCACACCCUGUGCCUCAGUCACAGAAGGGACCACGGGGCACUGGAGCCAGGCAGGGCAGGGCAGGCAGAAGCAAGAGCCUGCCCAGGCCUGGCGCUGGGGCAUGUGGGCAGCAGCUUCUGGCUCCUGUGCCUGGAAUAAGGCAGGGACGAGGGAGGAGCUGGUCUGAGUCCUGGAGUGACUCCCGGGGUGGCCUCAUCCGGAGGGCACUGGAGAGGUAUGGAGGCGUUUGGACCAAGAAGGGGAGUCGUGGUCAGAUUUGGACUUUAGGAAGGCCCCCCAGCUGCGUGUGCAGGGAGAUAAGUGGGGGAAACUGAGGCAGGGUGCUGGGGGAGGCUGGGGGAGAACAGAGAGCAUGGGCUGGGCAGGGCCAUGGGAUCGGGGAGGCCCUGAGCUGGCGGAUGGGCUUUGCAGACUGGGAAGGACCGGGCCCAUGGUCAGUUGUGCCUGGGGACCUGGGAGGCAGCACAGCUCUGAGAGGGGUUGGGGGCUAUUUUAACAUAUGGUGAGUCUGAGGGGCUACAGGGACAUCCAGGAGGUGUCACAGGGCCCUGGGGCUGGGGCUCAGGGGGUGGUCAAAGUUGGAGUCAAAGGAAUUGAGGCUGUGGGAGAGGAUGAAGAGAGAAGUGGCCUCAGGGUGUUUACAUAUUGAUAUCAAUUAGGAAAGAUUUUGGCUUUUCUGGGGUUCUAAUAAGGCAAAUGUUAGAUUGCUCCUCAUCAGAGUCAGGGAGACCUCUGGAAAUACUCUCCACAGCAAUGCAAGAGCCUAGUGAUCCCAGGGUCCCUGUGUCUCUGCUCUGCCACCCUCAGCUGAAGGCUUGCCUCACAUGUGUUCUCCCCUCAUGGUCCCAAAGUGGCUGCCAGAGGUCUAGGCAUCACAAUUGGACAUGAUCUUCUCUAGUGAGCAAUGACCCUUCAAUGAAUGUUGUGAUACCAAAGAAAAGUGCUUACAAAGGAGAAAGAAAAAAAGCACAGGAUAAAGAGGAAUAAGGAAAACCAGGAAGGUGGACAGUAAAAUGAGAGAGAGAGAGAGAGAAGAGAGGAGAGGGAGGAGAGAAAAAAGGAAAAGAGAAAUGCCAACUGUACCACGGAGAGCUCGGCCGGCGGGGGAGAAGCCUUCCUCCUGCACUCGGCGCGGGGGUCCGCAGGUUUCCUCCAGGGCUGCGCCGGCAACAUCCACACGCGUGUCUUAUUUCCCAUUCUACACAAAUGGUACCUAGUGUGUUGAGGUGGUGAGAAUCACAGACUGUCACUCCCAAGCUGGGGGACUUUGGGCAGGUGAUGUCACCUCCAGUUGCUCAUUUGUGACACGGGAUGCCAACCGCGCCUACCUCAUGGAUGGAGCAGUCGAGCUCACCACCUGGAGAGCACUCAGGGGCGUGUGGGACUCCGUGAAAUGCUGCCUCAUAUUGCUGUUGUUCUCAUUGUAAAAUAUUAUGUAGAUGAUAUAAAAACAUUCACAUUUCAACAUUACAUUCUGUGA